CAUAAGCCUGGUCCUGACUUUACUAUCCGCCCUAACCAAGAUUAUACAUGCAAGUAUCCGCACCCCAGUGAAAAUGCCCCCAAACCCCGCCCGGGGACAGGGAGCUGGCAUCAGGCUCGCAUCCCGUAGCCCAAGACGCCUUGUGAAACCACACCCCCAAGGGAGCUCAGCAGUAAUAAAUAUUAGGCAAUAAGUGCAAACUUGACCUAACCAUGGUUAAGAGGGCCGGUAAAACUCGUGCCAGCCACCGCGGCCAUACCAGUGAGCCCAAGUGGAUAGCCAACGGCGUAAAGCGUGGUUAAGGAUCAACAAUACUAAAGUAAAACCCCCUCAGAGCCGUAGUACGCCCCGACAGGGUGAAACCCUACCACGAAAGUGACUUUAAAUUAACCUGAACCCACGAAAGCUGAGAAACAAACUGGGAUUAGAUACCCCACUAUGCUCAGCCGUAAACCAUAAUAGGCGCCUUACAAGACCUAUUCGCCAGGGGACUACAAGCAACAGCUUCAAACCCAAAGGACUUGGCGGUGCUUUAGACCCCCCUAGAGGAGCCUGUCCUAUAACCGAUAAUCCCCGUUCAACCUCCCCCCUUCUUGCCCAUCAGCCUAUAUACCGCCGUCGUCAGCUUACCCCGUGAGGGGCCAACAGUGAGCUAAACUGGCAACGCCCAAAACGUCAGGCCGAGGUGUAGCCCAUGAAGUGGACAAGAGAUAGGCUACAUUUUCUGAAUCAGAAAACACGAAAGAAACAGUGAAACCUGUUUCCGAAGGAGGAUUUAGCAGUAAGCAGGGAAUAGAGCGCCCUGCUGAAGCCGGCUCUAAAGCGCGUACAUACCGCCCGUCACCCUCCCCAAACCCACACCCCCAAAUACCCUAUAGUGAUAACGGGUGCCACGAGGAGGCAAGUCGUAACAUGGUAAGUGUACCGGAAGGUGCACUUGGAUAACA
rnacentral:ncRNA from 1 species